UACGGAGGGGGCUAGCGUUGUUCGGAAUUACUGGGCGUAAAGCGCACGUAGGCGGCUUUGUAAGUUAGAGGUGAAAGCCCAGGGCUUAACCCUGGAAUUGCCUUUAAGACUGCAUCGCUCGAAUUGUGGAGAGGUGAGUGGAAUUCCGAGUGUAGAGGUGAAAUUCGUAGAUAUUGGGAAGAACACCGGUGGCGAAGGCGGCUCACUGGCUCAUUUCUGACGCUCAGGCGCGACAGCGUGGGGAUCAAACAGG
rnacentral:rRNA from 1 species